AGGCAACCUGCCCUCAAGUUUGGGACAACUACCGGAAACGGUAGCUAAUACCGAAUAGUUGUUUUCUUCGCCUGAAGAGAACUGGAAAGACGGAGCAAUCUGUCACUUGGGGAUGGGCCUGCGGCGCAUUAGCUAGUUGGUGAGGUAACGGCUCACCAAGGCGACGAUGCGUAGCCGACCUGAGAGGGUGAUCGGCCACACUGGGACUGAGACACGGCCCAGACUCCUACGGGAGGCAGCAGUAGGGAAUCUUCCGCAAUGGGCGAAAGCCUGACGGAGCAAUGCCGCGUGAGUGAUGAAGGUUUUCGGAUCGUAAAGCUCUGUUGCCAGGGAAGAAUGCUUGGGAGAGUAACUGCUCUCAAGGUGACGGUACCUGAGAAGAAAGCCCCGGCUAACUACGUGCCAGCAGCCGCGGUAAUACGUAGGGGGCAAGCGUUGUCCGGAAUUAUUGGGCGUAAAGCGCGCGCAGGCGGUCAUUUAAGUCUGGUGUUUAAUCCCGGGGCUCAACCCCGGAUCGCACUGGAAACUGGGUGACUUGAGUGCAGAAGAGGAGAGUGGAAUUCCACGU
rnacentral:rRNA from 1 species